CACCUACGGGUGGCAGCAGUUGGGAAUCUUGCACAAUGGGGGAAACCCUGAUGCAGCGACGCCGCGUGGACGAUGAAGGCCUUAGGGUUGUAAAGUCCUUUUUUCAGGAAAGGUUUAGGACGGUACCUGAAGAAUAAGCUCCGGCUAACUACGUGCCAGCAGCCGCGGUAAGACGUAGGGAGCAAGCGUUGUCCGGAUUUACUGGGCGUAAAGAGCGCGUAGGCGGCUCGUUAAGUGUGAAGUGAAAUCUCCAGUGCUCAACACGGAAACUGCUUUACAUACUGGCGAGCUUGAGGAAAGCAGAGAUAACUGGAAUUCCUGGUGUAGCGGUGAAAUGCGUUGAUAUCAGGAGGAACACCCAUGGCGAAGGCAGGUUAUUGGGCUUUAUCUGACGCUGAGGCGCGAAAGCGUGGGUAGCAAACAGGAUUAGAUACCCUGGUAGUCCACGCCCUAAACGAUGGAUACUAGUCGUGAGAGGUAUCGACCCCUCUCGUGACCGUAGCUAACGCGUUA
rnacentral:rRNA from 1 species